rnacentral:tRNA from 1 species
AAUCCGCGUGCGUGACUGGAAAAUGGUAUUGCUGGAGCAGCGUGCCAAGCAGUUGGCGUGCUGGGCGGAGCCGUUCAUCCGGCUGCGGAUUCC